rnacentral:rRNA from 1 species
UAGGGAAUCUUCGGCAAUGGACGAAAGUCUGACCGAGCAACGCCGCGUGAGUGAAGAAGGUUUUCGGAUCGUAAAACUCUGUUGGUGAGAAGAACGUUGGUGAGAGUGGAAAGCUCAUCAAGUGACGGUAACUACCCAGAAAGGGACGGCUAACUACGUGCCAC